AGCCUCACCUGGCUGAGAGUGAGGUUUGUUUGAGCCCCAUUGUCAUAGCAACAAGGGAAUGUUUGUUAACAGAGCCAGUGACUUCACAGAAGCUGGUCUUAAUUCCACAUUUCUGAAGCUCAGGGAAGAGCAGAGCCAGCCAGGAGAGAAUGUGGAGGCAGAGGAAGACAAUAGUUCCCUUGGAAGAGCUGUGACUACUAGAAAAGUAUGUCCUGCUCAGGGAAGAGCAGAGCCAGCCAGGAGAGAAUGUGGAAGCAGAGGAAGACAAUAGUUCCCUUGGAAGAGCUGUGACUACGAGAAAAGUACUGUCCUGUAUCCUGGAGGGACACCAGAUGGAACCAAAAGACCAUGUUAUUUAAGUCAAUCAGUCAAAAACUAAAACCUUAAUUUACAAUGAAAAAAGUUUUUUAAAAAAAUAAACAAUCUAAAUGACUACUUUCCUGAGCCUGU
rnacentral:lncRNA from 1 species